AAGAGGUGAUGAUAUGCAUUCAUUAGUCUGUCAAUCCACUGGUGUUUACAUGUUUAUUUAUGUUUAUAUUCAU